UUCUGUGGCAGAUCCCCGAGAACAUCUUCAGCAGUGAUGUCCGAGACAUGAACCUCUCCGUUGCCCUUGGCACUCUCGAUGUCCUGGCGGCUGUUCUGAGGGAGGGAGAGGCACCGGUGAAGCCCUCGGACCUGCUUGCGGUGCUUCUGUUACUAAAGCAAGUUUCCAAUGUGGAAGUCCAGGAGGGAGAGGAGCUAAAGAUGUUGGAACUGAGCCAAUACUAUGUGGAAGUGACCGAGUUCAUCCUGGAAGAGCACAAUAUUGAAACGUGGUCAUCAAUCAGCCAGGUUAUCAGAGGGCCUAUGGCUGUUGUUGAGCUCUGUGACAGAAUGGUGUCACUCCUAGCCCCGCUGCUGACCGCAGGGAGGACGAAGAUCACAAUUCAGCACAGAAAUGUUGGGAUGGAGGUGAGGAAGCUGGAACUGAGCAGGCCGGAGCUGAGCAGUGAGGCAUACCUGAUCCACAGCCCCGAAAAAGACAGGCCUGACUACAUCGAAGUCCCCGAGGAAGAGAUGCAAAGGCUGAAAGCCAAAGGUCUCCACAGGGUCAUGGUGAAGAACAUGUGGUUUGGCUACGGCUCCCUCCAGCACUGCCUGACCGACCACAGCAGCACCACAGCCUCCCAGGACGUGGCUGCCUCUGACAGAGGACAGAAGUCCCUGCGCACCGCGGUGGGCACCGCCGUCAUUUCGUCCACUCUGCUCAGCGACGACCAGGAGAUAAGCACCUCUGUGCGCUACCGCCUGCAGCACCGCAUCAAGGUACCCGGGCAAGGGGGCUGGGGAGCCCCGGGGAGCCCCCUCCCAGGCCGGCGGCAAAGCCCAACCCCCCCAAGCCCUGCCAAGACUUUGCCCAAGGCCUCCCAAGCUCUUGGGCUAACGUGUGUCCCAUCCCAUGCCUGGCUCUCACCCUGACUCCUGUUUCCCCGGGGAGGCACUGUCUGGGGCUGACAGCCCAUGUUCUGCUACAGCCCAGGGAGCAAUGUCUGUGUGAUGUGUGUGUGGGGCUGCAUAACCUCCUCUUGUCCAUCUCUCCUGCAGGAUCUGCCCGAUAAGCUGCUGGGGCCCAUCUGUGCCUUCUGGAACUUCAGCCUCAGGUGCCUUGUUUCUCUUCGGGUCCCCAGAUUUAUGAGCUUUUAUUUCCACUGUAAACCAAACAAAAUAUAACUAUAAUGGCAAAAGCAGGUACCUGUAAUUCUUUGCAUGCUUUGCAUGCUGACAUCCUCCAUCUGAUGGAACAGAGCUCUCUCCUGGGAAGAUUUCCUUUGGAAAAGUCACUCAAAAGCAAGUGACCUUUAAUGAAGUAUGUACAACUACAAUGGAAAGCCCGUUAAUUGUGAUUGUCGCCUGCAACAAAGAAGGGCUGGGCCAAGAUAUAUAGCACAAC
rnacentral:lncRNA from 1 species